rnacentral:rRNA from 1 species
GAUGAACGCUGGCGGCGUGCCUAAUACAUGCAAGUCGAGCGAACGGACGAGAAGCUUGCUUCUCUGAUGUUAGCGGCGGACGGGUGAGUAACACGUGGAUAACCUACCUAUAAGACUGGGAUAACUUCGGGAAACCGGAGCUAAAACCGGAUGAUAUUUUGAACCGCAUGGUUCAAAAGUGAAAGACGGUCUUGCUGUCACUUAUAGAUGGAUCCGCGCUGCAUUAGCUAGUUGGUAAGGUAACGGCUUACCAAGGCAACGAUGCAUAGCCGACCUGAGAGGGUGAUCGGCCACACUGGAACUGAGACACGGUCCAGACUCCUACGGGAGGCAGCAGUAGGGAAUCUUCCGCAAUGGGCGAAAGCCUGACGGAGCAACGCCGCGUGAGUGAUGAAGGUCUUCGGAUCGUAAAACUCUGUUAUUAGGGAAGAACAUAUGUGUAAGUAACUGUGCACAUCUUGACGGUACCUGAUCAGAAAGCCACGGCUAACUACGUG